AUACGGAGGGUGCGAGCGUUAAUCGGAAUUACUGGGCGUAAAGGGUGCGUAGGCGGCUUGAUAAGUCGGAUGUGAAAGCCCCGGGCUUAACCUGGGAAUUGCAUUCGAUACUGUCAGGCUAGAGUAUGUCAGAGGUUGGCGGAAUUCCUGGUGUAGCGGUGAAAUGCGUAGAUAUCAGGAGGAACACCAGUGGCGAAGGCGGCUAACUGGGGAAAUACUGACGCUGAGGCACGAAAGCGUGGGGAGCAAACAGGAUUAGAAACCCCUGUAGUCC
rnacentral:rRNA from 1 species